UCGGAAGUGGAUCCUACCACAAAGAAAAAGCCUGUACGUUCGGCUGAAGGUCUAUUAGCAAAGAAGGAAAGUGACCGACGGAGAAGGCAAACAAGGAUUUGUAUUGGCGUCGCUUUUCCUCGGUGGAGAGCCCUGAAGGAAGAAAUUGGGCUGAGGGCAGACACGGAUGUUGCCUUGCUGCUGCUGGAUGACAAUGGCGGUUUGCGGAGCCUCUCAAUAGUUCCCGGAAGUAAGCGGAGUUACAGCAGAAAAGACCGGCUGUGUUGUACUUUUAACGGGAGCACUGGGUGGUGGCGGAGCAGUGAUGCUGCAGGACCACUGUGUGAGAGAGGACGCUGCAGAUAAGUGCUGAGUCGACCUUGGUGAGACUUAAAACUUAACAAGCACAAGAACAACAGGGGGAUGCAAUGGAGCCUGAACUCACCCCGCAAUGAAACAACCCCCUUACCCUGAGUCUCAACUCUGUGGGUUUUGCAAGCCUUUCCCUGUUCCUUAUUUUUAAUAAACCAAACACUGAGCUUCCCAA